CGGUACCCAACGAAUAAGCAUCGGCUAACUCCGUGCCAGCAGCCGCGGUAAGACGGAGGAUGCAAGCGUUAUCCGGAAUUAUUGGGCGUAAAGCGUACGUAGGCUGUUUCAUAAGUCUGUUGUCAAAGCGCGAGGCUCAACCUUGUAAAGGCAAUGGAAACUGCGAGACUAGAGAGAGAUAGGGGCAGGAGGAAUUCCAGGUGUAGCGGUGAAAUGCGUAGAUAUCUGGAAGAACACCAGUGGCGAAAGCGUCCUGCUGGAUCUCAACUGACGCUGAAGUACGAAAGCUAGGGGAGCGAAUGGGAUUAGAUACCCCAGUAGUCCUAGCCGUAAACGAUGGGUACUAGGUGUUGGUCGUAUCGACCCGAUCAGUGCCGUA
rnacentral:rRNA from 1 species